rnacentral:rRNA from 1 species
CAAUGGCCGGUACAACGGGGUGCGACACGGUGACGUGGGGCGGAUCCCUGAAAACCGGUCUCAGUUCGGAUCGCAGUCUGCAACUCGACUGCGUGAAGGUGGAGUCGCUAGUAAUCGCGGAUCAGCAACGCCGCGGUGAAUGCGUUCCCGGGCCUUGUACACACCGCCCGUCAAGUCAUGAAAGUGGGCAGCACCCGAAGACGGUGGCCUAACCUUUGUGGGGGGAGCCGUCUAAGGUGAGGCUCGUGGUUGGGACUAAGUCGUAACAAGGUACC